UCCUGUAGCGUAAUGGAUAGCGGAUUGGAUUUCUAAUACAAAGGUAGUGGGUUCGAAAUCCACCUGAGAAG